rnacentral:sRNA from 1 species
UUUUAAUGUCUUUUCAGGUAUUCUAUGCAAUGGGACAACAAUGGAGAUAAGGAGACAUUUUGGAGCAAAAGCUAAGGAAAAGGAAGCUAAGGACGAUUUUGGUUCAGGAAUCUGCGAGGAGUGUCGACCGACACACUCUUGGUGUCGAUCGACACCAGUUUCGGCCCAGCAAAAACCCUAGACGCUUUCAAGUUUACAGAAGCUCAAGUUUGCCCCAGAAGACUUCCCUAUUUGCAUUAUUAGUCCCUAGACGUUUUUAGGGUCUAUAUAUAUUGUUUUUA